UUUUAAGUUUGCAGUUAUACCUCUUGUUGGUAUGCAUUUUUUUAGUGUUAUUAUUUCAUUCUAAUUCUUAUGGAUUCUAUUCCUUUGUAUGGGACUUUUUCACUGGUUAUAAAUUUUGGCUUCUUUGAAUUUUCACUUUCAUAUUUAUUAAUUUUUUUUGGUAAAUAUUUUAAAAAAUGAUUGAUAAUAUUGAAUUAUCCUAGACCUUCUAUAACAUAAUAAAUUGAUGUACUAAUUUGUUAAAUUCAAUUAUUCAGUAUUCUGUUUCUUAAUUUAGUUGAUUAAGUAGGUUAAUUAUUUUUUUAUCCUAAUCUGGAAUAUAUGUGCCCGGAAUGUUGCUGUGAGCAUAUUGCCUGUCAAGAAGAAUCAUUUGAGUUGAGGACGAUAAGAUGUUACAUUUUUAAGCUAUGCUGUUUUUCAGCUCACUCCAACUUGAACUCGGUACAAUUUUAAUUUUUUGAAUUAAUUCAGUUUCCUUCAGCUGAUGAAUUAUUGCAGUAUCUGUGUGAGUUUGUGUGGUUAUUUCAUAUUUGCCUGUGAUUUUGUAUUAAUCAUUUGAGUCGAAAUCCUGAAUCGGGUUUAUAAUCAGUUUUUGGACUCAAAUUGCUGAUUUUAAGAUGUGUUUUUAUAGUAAACUAAUUGCUGAUGUCAAUAUUCUUUUCAUUAGUUUUGGGUUGAUUAGUUAAUAAAUUCUUCGGUAUUUUACUGUUUGGGGAUUUCAGCAUGUGUUUGAUUAAUUGGUUCUAUUCUUUUUUAUAUCGUAUGUGCUGACUUCAAUUUGGCAAUUUCUUGGGGAUAUCUUUUUUAUCAAAUUGUAUUUUCGCGGAGUUCAACAGUGAAAAUGUGAAAUAUGUCCAAUUAUUUGAAUUUUUGUUGAUAUUUUGAAAUUGAUAUUAUGUAUUGAUGAGCCAUCAAGUUAAAAUUAAAAAGAAUUCCAAGUUGCAAAUGCUAUUUGGAAGUUGAAUUUGCUCUGCUAGGUUGCAGAGUAUACUUGAAUUUAUUUUAUCAAAAGAUGAAUAUUUAUCAUCUCUUAGUUUCCCCUUCUUUGUCAUAUAUCUUUACGAAAUUGUUGUAGAAAUAUUUAGAUGAUAAUUGGAUUGUGUUGAUAAUGUACUUGGAAGAUCAUACGAGGAAUUUCAGGGAAAAAAGGGUUUGUUGCUUGUGUCCAUUUUAUUUCAGGUGUCCGGAAAAAAAUGUUGAGUGUGGAAAGUAUAUCCAUCCUUGUGCGUUUGGGUCUGUUAUUCAUAUUGAUAGUUGACAUUCCAUGUGAGGAAGCAUAUUUCACAUAAAACAUAUAUUCACUUUGUGUUGUUAGGUAACUAUUGUAGCUUUGCACAUCUGCUUUCGUAAUGGUUUAUUGUUGCACAUUUUAUAGGCUAAUGUUGCUAGAAGAAAUCGAAUUUCUUUCCGUUCAAAUGAUGGAAUGAUGAUUGAUGGCGUUAAAGAUUACUCUCACCUGGUUGCUGAAAUGAUAUGAUUGUCGUAAGUUUUAACUUACUAUGAAUGCUUUUAGUUUUCGUCAACUGCAACUCUAUUAUGUAUUUUGAGCCGAAUAUUUUUAAAUAACAGCAUCAACAUAAUUAAAUUUAUUUUACUCUUGAAACGACAAAUAUGUUUCCUCUUCCUUUUUGAUGAAAGUUAAAUCACAAUAGAUUUGUCUUUUAUAUGAAGAUUUUCUUCUUCUGAAUUGCUGUUGCGCACUGUACUUGAUAUUGGUUGCGGGUCUGGUAGUUUUAGUGCUCGUCUUCUAUCGCUUAAGCUGAUGUGUGACAGCAUAUGAGCCAACAGGUAGACAUGUUCAAUUGGCACUUGAUAGAGGUCUCCCUUCAAUCAAAACUUAAUCUAAAGACAGGUCCCUCUUCAUCCUUUGUCAUAUGAAGUGGUUCACUGCACUCAAUGUAGCAUUGUCUGGGAUAACAAAGGUAUGAUCCUCAUUAAGGUUUGGGGUUUUGUUUUUUUCCAUUAAAUCACCAUUUCUUCAUCAGAUUAAGUGCAGUGGUUUUUAUUGAUUUUUCACCGAUGAAAAUACUUGAAAUUAAUUUGACAUUUAGCCUAAUGUAUUGCGAACUUUUCUGAUCCAAACAAGAAGGAAAAGAAAGCGAAUGAUCCAAACAAGCCAAAGAGACCUCCAAGUGCUUUCUUUGUUUUCAUGUAUGCCCAUUUGCAUUUUUGGUCUCUAUCAUUUCUGUCUAUUGUUCUUAUAUAUUACCUUUUUUAUGCCGCUUGGCAGACUACAACAAUAAUUUGGUAAUCCAUCUAUGAGAAGCACGGUGUUAUACACAGUUUAGUUUGAAUUGUGAUACUGAAACGACUUGUGCCGAACUGUUUUUAUAGGCUAGAGGGGCUGUUGAAUUCGACAAGGCAAAGUCUGAGGUUAAUGGUGAUGAGGACGAUGAGAACAGUGGAGACGUUAGUUGAAAUUAAGCUAUACAACUUUUUUGUACUUGAAACUUUGCUACUAUGUUGACUUUUUAUUUUGUUUUAAUUAAUUUAGGGGGAAGACGAUGAGUAAGCACUAUUACAGAAAACUGGAUUUUGGAUUCAAGGUGAGAACCAACAAUCAAUCUUCCUUCAUUAUUUGCAUUUAUGGCUUCAGGUUUUGUAAAAUGUUCGAUUUGAAAGUGAGUUAAUUGGAUUGGUAGAUUUCAUGAAGAAUUAUUGUGUAAAAUUUGGCUUCAGGUGAAUUUUACUGAAAUUAAUUGAAAGUAAUUAUCAAUAAUACUCCUUUUUUAAUUUUUAUUUUUUAAAGUUGCUAAUGUGUUUGUUCUUCCUUUCAGUGAGGGAACAAGCAUCUCUUUGCCAUUAACUUGGGGCAAAAAAAGAGAGGAAACGUAUGCCUUGUUUUUCAUUAUUGCCUAUUGGUACACAAGACGUAUUUAGAGGAAAGGGGUGGAGGAAGAGGGGGUUGAGUGCUUGUAGACCAUGAGCAAAAAUGGCAGACUACAAUAAGAAUUUGGUAAUUUCAUCUAUGAAAUUCUCUAUUACAAUGCACUACGUGCAUCUCACAUGCGAAGAACUAGUUCGAUAAAUAUUCAAUAUUUUGCAGCAAGCUUCAUAUCUUGUUAAAUUUUGAAGGUCCUUCCUUUUGUGAAAUCAUUUAAGUUAAAAAUGUUAAGAGAGAAAAACAUUAAUUUAUUAAUAUCUUCAAAACUCUUCUUAUGGUGCAGGUAGAUUUAAUUUUUCUAUAAACAUUAAAUUUCUGACUUUGAUGGGGAUGAUGUUAUUAUUUUACAGAUUUUCAUCUGGUCGUCCAUUACCAAUACAAUUUCGAGACUCGAUUUGAUUAGAGACUAAUAGCUCAGUCAUCUACCAGGUCAAGAAAGUUAUUAAUUGGGUUAGUUGCUGUAAGCUUGUGGGCUGACCACCUAUAUGCCUGCUUUGCAUAUAUUUCGUUGCCAGCUCCAAUCCACAUCAUUUGAUGACGUGUUGUUUACAACAAAUUUGACUUGUACACAAUAUCUGUUAUUACGAGAGUUAGAGAGAGAGGCCAAUUCAAACCAUCAUUUGGUGACACAUUUUUUAAGAGCAAUCGUGGAACCUAUAUUUGUUAAGUGAAGUCAAUGUUAUGCUGAAGCAAACAAAAGAUUAUGACGAUUGAGGAUAGUCAAGUUCACAUUUCACUUCUUAUCUUUCCAUUCUCUCUCUUUUAGAGUAAAGAUCAUUUGUAGUAUUUCGUGGCUACCAAAUAUUCAAAUACUCCAGGGAACAUUGUAGAUGUAAAAUUCUGCAUUAUAUAAUAGGAGGAAUUUCUUUUUUUUUUUUUUUUUUCCUAAAUGGAUUAUCAGGUAAGUUGUCAUUAUUUGCAAUAGUAAUAGGCUUUUUAUUAUGAUGUGCAGUUGCACAUGUCCAUGUGUGUCCACGUAUACUUGUGUGUGUAAAUGUGGAAUAAUGAUAUUUACAAUCUAUUCUUACCUAUUAGCAAUUAGCAUUCUAUGUAGAUGUAUUGUUACUGCCACAUUUUCCUAUAAUUUUAGAGUAGGGAUAUUUGUAAGCAUCGUACUGAAAACAACAAUCUAUAUGACAAUGAGAUAUCUGUCUCAUUCUCCUAUGAAAUUGAGUUCGUUUUAAUUUAUUGAAGAAUGUGAUAGUGACCCCAUUAUUACAUCAAAUGUUGGU
rnacentral:lncRNA from 1 species